UAUGGGGUAAAAACACCCCCAAAUCCUAAGAAUAAAUCAUAAACUAACAUUAACAAUAAAUCCAAGGUGUGGAGCAAGCUUGGAGGUGAUAUGGAGACCAUUUAGCACACGAAAUCAGCCCCAAAGUGGCUGGUCGGACAGCAGCAGAAAAAGGGGCAAAACAACUUCAAUCUACUUCUUUUCUUUUGAUUCUUGAUUAUCAAAGGCUUACUACAGCCAACAAACAACUCUUGGACAACCAUCAAGAACAAGACCCAACAACACUCUUAAUCUUCUUGUUUUGGUCUUCAAAGGUAAACUGGGCAUGUGAGGGCAUUUUCAAGCAAAACUUUCAAAAUAUAAGUUGUAGAGGAACGAGUUAAGAAUAACCACCAACUGGAACUACUCAAAAAUACCGAACCAAACGAAGGAUAUGAUUUUUCUACUGAAACUGGUCAAAACUGUAAUUUGGGAUAGUCUUGGCUUUGA